rnacentral:rRNA from 1 species
UACGUAGGUGGCAAGCGUUGUCCGGAUUUACUGGGCGUAAAGAGCGCGCAGGCGGUCGUUCAAGUCGCGUGUGAAAGCCCCCGGCUCAACUGGGGAGGGUCACGCGAUACUGAUCGACUCGAAGGCAGGAGAGGGAAGUGGAAUUCCCGGUGUAGUGGUGAAAUGCGUAGAUAUCGGGAGGAACAUCAAUGGCGAAGGCAGCUCGCUGGGACGUUACUGACGCUGAGACGCGAAAGCGUGGGGAGCAAACAGG